rnacentral:rRNA from 1 species
AUUGAACGCUGGCGGCAGGCCUAACACAUGCAAGUCGAGCGAGCGGCGGACGGGUGAGUAAUGUAUGGGGACUGCCCGAUAGAGGGGGAUAACUACUGGAAACGGUGGCUAAUACCGCAUACUAUCGGAUAACCCAUAGGGGAUUAGCUAGUAGGUGGGGUAAAGGCUCACCUAGGCGACGAUCUCUAGCUGGUCUGAGAGGAUGAUCAGCCAGACUGGGACAGACACAGGUCCCAGACUCCUACGGAGGUAGCAGUGGGGAAUAUUGCACAAGUGGCGCGAUCCGGAUGCGGCAAUGCCGCUUUUAUGAAGAAGGCUUUAGUGUUGUAAUGUACUUUCCGCGGGGAGGCGUUCCCCGAAGAAGAGGCCCCGGCUAACUCCGUGCCAGCAGCCGCGGUAAUUC